GGCGCCCGGCGCGCUGCCGUCACGGGCCAGGCGCUUGGGAAGGAGCCCAAGCACUCGACACCCUCGUUGAAGAUUGGCCCUGGGAGGAAAGCGGGCGGAUCCCCGACGAGAAUGCUAACCACCGAUUGGCUGAUGGAAGUGAAGGAGGCGGGCACUAGGAUGACUGAAGUUUAAAGAGGGUGGAAGAAAGUUUCAAGAGUCAGGGAGAGCAAGGAGGGGCAGGGGAGUGGGACUGGCUCCAGAACGCAGGGCCGAGAGAGGCCCUCGGUGCGGCGGCCCUAGCAAGGAAAAAACUUGGAUAGAAGAGCUGCCGAACUCCCCGAGUUCCUGUUGGGAAAGGAAAUGGCAAUCCACUCCGGUGUUCUUGCCUGGAGAAUCUCAUGGACGGAGAGGCCUGGUGGGCUGCAGUCUAUGGGGUUGCAAAGAGUUGGACACAACUAAGCAGGACACAAUUAAGUUGGACACAACUAAGGAAAAUUUCGAGAACUACUGUGGUUUCUGCAUAUGUAUCAAGAAGAAUGCUUUCGUAUCAAAUCCAUUAUUGAAAGAUUCAUUCAUCACUGUGCUGAGAUGAUUACAGAUACCUCCUGAAAAUCACAAACUCAUUGAGUCUGCCACUAGCAAGGACGCCCACCAGAAUGGAAGCUAUGAAGAAUGGAGACA
ensembl:lncRNA